UGUAUUUAUUAGAUUAAAAACCAAUGCCCUUCGGGGCUCCCUGGUGAUUCAUAAUAACUUAACGAAUCGCAUGGCCUUGUGCCGGCGAUGGUUCAUUCAAAUUUCUGCCCUAUCAACUUUCGAUGGUAGUAUAUGGGACUACCAUGGUUUCAACGGGUAACGGGGAAUUAGGGUUCUAUUCCGGAGAGGGAGCCUGAGAAACGGCUACCACAUCCAAGGAAGGCAGCAGGCGCGCAAAUUACCCAAUCCCGACACGGGGAGGUAGUGACAAUAAAUACUGAUACAGGGCUCUUUUGGGUCUUGUAAUUGGAAUGAGUACAAUUUAAAUCCCUUAACGAGGAACAAUUGGAGGGCAAGUCUGGUGCCAGCAGCCGCGGUAAUACCAGCUCCAAUAGCGUAUAUUAAAGUUGUUGCAGUUAAAAAGCUCGUAGUUGAACCUUGGGCCUGGCUGGCCGGUCCGCCUCACCGCGUGCACUGGUCCGGCCGGGUCUUUCCUCCUGGGGAGCCGCAUGCCCUUCACUGGGUGUGUCGGGGAACCAGG
rnacentral:rRNA from 1 species